rnacentral:rRNA from 1 species
UACGGGGGGGGUAAGCGUUGUUCGGAAUUACUGGGCGUAAAGGGCUCGUAGGCGGCCAACUAAGUCAGACGUGAAAUCCCACGGCUCAACCGUGGAACUGCCUUAGAUACUGACGGCCUCGAGGGAGAUAGGGGCGAGCGGAACUGUGAGUGGAGCGGUGAAAUGCGUUGAUAUUCACAGGAACUCCGGUGGCGAAGGCGGCUCGCUGGAUCUUUUCUGACGCUGAGGCGCGAAAGCUAGGGGAGCAAACGGG